GGUGUGGGUACGGUUGUGUGGGAGCCACCAUCCGUAAAGUUACAUACCAUUCAUGGUGCUGCUCGACUUGUCUGCACUGAGUUACUCAAACAGUGAAAGAGAAGUUCACAUCUUGGAUCUCAGCUGGGAUAAAACGGGUUGUAGAAGAUAGUGGAAGAUAUCUUUGGAUUUUGCUUCUCAUAUUUUUUGAUACCAAAUUAUACAUUUUGGUUUUGCUUCUUUAGCAAACUGUGGACAAGAUUUCGCUCUUGUUCUAAGACAUUGUAAAAGAGAAGGUAAACCCAGACAUGAGUGUCAAAAACUAACUGUGUUGAAAAUUAAGGUACUUGAUGCCGCACGUAAAGUUGGUGAAGAAAAAAUGA